ACGAAAGGCGCGACCGCAGGAUGAAGUGCUAUGCAAGGCUGUUGGCCCAUAUGGCAGG
rnacentral:ribozyme from 1 species